rnacentral:rRNA from 1 species
UACGUAGGGGGCAAGCGUUGUCCGGAUUUAUUGGGCGUAAAGAGCGUGUAGGCGGCUUGGUAGGUCCGCUGUGAAAACUCGAGGCUCAACCUCGAGAUGUCGGCGGAAACCACUUGGCUAGAGUCCGGAAGAGGAGAGUGGAAUUCCUGGUGUAGCGGUGAAAUGCGCAGAUAUCAGGAAGAACACCGAUGGCGAAGGCAGCUCUCUGGGACGGUACUGACGCUGAGACGCGAAAGCGUGGGGAGCGAACAGG